rnacentral:tRNA from 1 species
GCCAUGGUGGUGGAAUGGUAGACACUGGAGACUUAAAAUCUCCUGGCCUCGCGGCCGUACGGGUUCGAGUCCCGUCCAUGGUA